GUGUGGUGGCCUACUGUGGGUGUUGACAUAUCUCAAAGGAUACCUUCUUCCCUCUCACAACUUGUCCUGCACGUACUCAUCCAAAUCAACCACUGGCCUGACGGUGUUGAUAAGCACCAAGAUUGUCAGGUGGAAUUGGGCGAUGAUUCUGGCAAUACACCUGCACAUGAUAACAGUAAUUCAGCCGACCUCCUGGAUCAGCCUCCUAAGACAUGUCCGACAGUGAUACCGUGACUGAGUCUCAUAAAGCCCCAUUGGGAUGCCGUUAACUGAUCCAGGCCCACUUUCAGAUGCCGAUGGAAUCAUUUACGAUACUGUGGUAUCAGAAUAACACAUAUACAGCCAUGGCACAUGAACAGAUCAUUUUCAUGAAGAACCGAGAAGACCAAAUGG